AAAUAUUUGUAUCCGACAAUCCCUUCUCUUUCUUUAAAAUACAGUUUUGCACGCAUCAAAUGCAAUCUUAAAGGCUGUUGACUAACUUCAUGGCAAAGAAUGAAUGCAGAAAAGAAUAGGUCAAAUGUAAGAACUCAGGUUUCUGGAUUUUGCAGCUUGACGUACCCACUGAAGAAGGUGCUACAUUAGACAGAGUUUGUACGUGGCAUUAUUUUGCAAGUGAUAAGUAGUAUACGGCACUGCUCAGAAACAUACGUGAAAUUCAAACAAACGAAGGCUUUUGAGUCCUUACUCACCUUUGGUAACCUUUCGGGAUCACCUGGAUGUCGUGGAAUAACUUUCUGCAACCUCUGAAAGCCAUAAUCUAUGGUUGGUUCAUUAAGUGCUAGAACAUAAACAGAUCAGUCAGUUUAAACAGAGUAUAGAUUUAUAAACACGUUGUUCAACAAACUAUUUUUUAGCACAAACUUCCACGCGACGCAGUUUCCUUCUUCAGUCUUAUCACAGCUACAAACCACAUUCUAAAGCCUGUCCUGAGGAAGAGUUGUGCUGGUUGUUGUUUUUUUUUCCUUCACAAAGCAAUGAUUACUUCUAUUUAUAAUUAGACUGGAAAAUAGUCAAAGGGUUAUCCAAUAUAUUGCAAAAAUGGUAGCACAGUAACAAAGUUACAGGUCUGGAGGCCAUAUAUAGCAAUCACUACAGUCAUGAUAUGAUGUCUGCAUCAUGGGCUGCUUUCUAUACUGGCUGUGGAUUUAUGGGAAACUGGCAAUUAUGACAUAUGUCCAGCUAUUGCUAGCUUCAGAUUUAUCCCUGUGGUCCUUUUUUGUCUAGCAUAUUGCCUGAGCACAAACCAGGCAGGAGGAGCACUUAAUCUUGCAAAGCUUUAAUAAUCUGUGAAUGGCUGACUACAAACUGAUGUAGAGCACUAUCAUUCUACAGCUGCAAUCCACUAGCCUCAUGAAAUUGCAGGCCACAAAUAGUAAUUAAUCUUUUUAUCCCUCAAAUUGUAAUUUUGACUAUGAACUGUGCUUGGUCAUAAAUCAGCAGCACAUGCUGCUGUGUACAGUGCAUGAAUCAUGAUCCUGACUCAGUUAGACUGCACACAUUGUGUUUAACAAGCUUUAUAAGGAGUCAUAGGGCUUUAUUAUAGCUCUGCCUGACUCAAACAAAAACUGAGCCUGGAGGCCCAAGGACUAGAGUUAAGAUGAAAAUACUUAUUAGAGUAUAUUACUUCUUGAUGUAGAUAUCGUUUUCAGCAGAGUAACUCCAUGGUGCAUGGCAUUACAUAAAUCAAUGGGUUUUCUGAGACUAAUAAGAACUGCCUCCAUCUAUUCAUUACUCAGCCUGCAAUUUAGGCCAUCACUCAUUAGUCAGCAUGUAAUUUGAUGAUUAACACCGUACAACUCAGCAGGUUUGUGGAGUGCAAGUGAACACAAAGGCUACAACGUACUGGGGGAGAGGCGCCACAUAACAUUUGAAAAUGUUAUCCAAAAUAAUUGGCCAACAUUAUUAUCAAGCGCUUCAAUUAUUUGUGUAAACACGCGCAGUACAUCUUGUAAUCAAUGCAAGGAGACGCACACAUAUGCACUCAAUAACACGACAGAAAGUUGAAGACUGCAAUAUGAUUUGACAUUCCAUCAUGCAUCCCGGAGACAAAGGUCCACAUAGGAAUGUGAAGUAAGACAUUUUCUUGUUAAUAAAGCAUUGAUCCGAUGUAUUGAUUUUACAUGACAUGGCUUUUGCUGGGAUUUUGCCCUCCUUUUUCUUUGCAAAUAGUAAAGCUCUUCAAAAUGCCUUGGCGUAUGUGACAUGGCAAAAUUUCUAACUCUCUGUGAUGUAAAUUCUAUAUGUGUAAAACCACUUCAUAAUCAGACCAUUAAUCAUCAGAAGCUGUCAGCAUUGACUUUGGGGACAAUUUGUCAUGUCUUUGCCUGGGCCUAUACGAGUGUGUCAAGCCAAAGCCUAGUGUGUUGGGACAGAUGAGCCGCCAGUAUAGCCUCACAAAAUGACUUGCUUAAAAAAGGAUUAAAUAAAGUAUUACAUUUCUUGAUUAGAGAACAAAAAAGUGGCACUCUGCGCAUUUGUAACAUGUCAAGGUUUCUUCUAUUUUCCAGCUAAUCACCAUGACUGUUUGACUUAAUGAAUCUGGUCUGAUGAAAGGUGAUCAGAAAAGAUAGAUGGCCAACUCCUAUUGAUUUCAUGCAAAUGCAGCUGACAGGUGAUAGAAGCUUUAAUGCAAGCUUUCAAAAGCUUUAUGACUUGCAAUAACCAUACGCUUCCAUUCUAGGGAGGACACCACCAAAUGCUUCAUUUCAAUUUAUAUCAUCUUCAGAGAACCACAAAUAUUUUAGUGGAUGUGGCUCUACCUUUCCCCUCCAAUUCCAGUCCGAAUUCCUCUUGGAAAGCCUUUAAAGCCGAAGUGCAAAGCCAAGCAUAAGAUCAUCACUCUACUUAAUGCUCUAAUUAUUGCACACGGUUUCAUAAUUCUGGAUUUCUUCUC
rnacentral:lncRNA from 1 species